CAGUCGCCACGGUAAUACAGAGGGUGCAAGCGUUAAUCGGAAUUACUGGGCGUAAAGCGCGCGUAGGUGGUUUGUUAAGUCGAAUGUGAAAUCCCCGGGCUCAACCUGGGAACUGCAUCCGAAACUGGCAAGCUAGAGUAUGGUAGAGGGUGGUGGAAUUUCCUGUGUAGCGGUGAAAUGCGUAGAUAUAGGAAGGAACACCAGUGGCGAAGGCGACCACCUGGACUGAUACUGACACUGAGGUGCGAAAGCGUGGGGAGCAAACAGGAUUAGAUACCCCCGUAGUCCCUGUCUCUUAUAC
rnacentral:rRNA from 1 species